rnacentral:rRNA from 1 species
UACAGAGGGUGCGAGCGUUGUCCGGAAUCACUGGGCGUAAAGGGUGCGUAGGCGGUUUGGUAAGUCUUAUGUGAAAUCUACAGGCUCAACUUGUAGUCUGCAUGAGAAACUGCCGGGCUUGAGUAUGGGAGAGGUGAGUGGAAUUCCUGGUGUAGCGGUGAAAUGCGUAGAUAUCAGGAGGAACACCUGUGGCGAAAGCGGCUCACUGGACCAUAACUGACGCUGAUGCACGAAAGCUAGGGGAGCAAACAGG